UUAAGCUAGAAAGAGCGCAGGGUGGAUGCCUUGGCACUAAGAGCCGAUGAAAGACGUGAUAAGCUGCGAAAAGCUUCGGGGAGGAGCAAAUAUCCUUUGAUCCGGAGAUCUCUGAAUGGGGAAACCUACUUGAGUGCACCUCAAGUGACGUAUGGUGAAUACAUAGCCAUACGCCGGGAACCCGGUGAACUGAAACAUCUAAGUAGCCGGAGGAAGAGAAAGAAACAUCGAUUCCGAAAGUAGCGGCGAGCGAAAUUGGAAGAGCCCAAACCGGAAUGCGUGCAUUCCGGGGUUAAGGACCACGUUAUGUGACCCGUAUGGUAAUGGAACAGUCUGGGAAGUCAGACCAGAGAGGGUGAAAGUCCCGUACAUGAAACCAGAAGGGAGCUAGUGGGAUCCAGAGUACUGCGAGACACGUGGAACCUUGCAGGAAGUCGGGGGGACCACCCCCCAAGGCUAAAUACUCCUUAGUGACCGAUAGCGCAUAGUACUGUGAAGGAAAGGUGAAAAGGACCCCGGGAGGGGAGUGAAAGAGAACCUGAAACCCUGUGUUUACAAGCUGUGGAAGCACGUUAAGGUGCGACCGCGUACUUUUUGUAGAACGGUCCGGCGAGUUGCGGAUGCUGGCAAGGUUAAGCACUUUAGGUGCGGAGCCGAAGCGAGAGCAAGUCUGAAUAGGGCGUCAAGUCAGCAUGUGCAGACCCGAAACCGGGUGAUCUAUCCAUGUCCAGGUUGAAGCGAAAGUAAAAUUUCGUGGAGGACCGAACGCACAUCCGUUGAAAAGGGUGGCGAUGAGGUGUGGAUAGGGGAGAAAUUCCAAUCGAACCCGGAGAUAGCUGGUUCUCCUCGAAAUAGCUUUAGGGCUAGCCUCGUAUUAGUCUGGUGGAGGUAGAGCACUGAAUUUCCUAGGGGGCGUCAAAGCCUACCGAAGAAUAUCAAACUCCGAAUGCCAUACAGAUGAUGUACGGGAGUCAGACGGCACGAGAUAAGUUGGGUCGUCAAAAGGGAAAGAGCCCAGACCUGCAGCUAAGGUCCCAAAGUGUGUGUUAAGUGGAAAAGGAUGUGGGAUUUCAAAGACAACUAGGAUGUUGGCUCAGAAGCAGCCACACAUUCAAAGAGUGCGUAAUAGCUCACUAGUCGAGAGGUCCUGCGCCGAAAAUGUCCGGGGCUGAAACACAACACCGAAGCUCAGGAAUGUAUUUAUACAUUGGUAGAGGAGCAUUCUUAAAGGGGCGAAGCAGUACCGAUAAGGAGCUGUGGACUUUUAAGAAGAGAGAAUGCCGGAAUGAGUAGCGAGAUGGAGGUGGGAAUCCUCCAGGCCGAAUAUCUAAGGUUUCCAGGGUAAAGCUGAUCUGCCCUGGGUAAGUCGGGGCCUAAGGCAAGGCUGAGAAGCGUAGCUGAUGGACAACAGGUUUAGAUUCCUGUACCACAUGGUAUCAGAACUGUGGGGACGCAGAGGGAUAAGAUGACCGGGGGACAGAUUCCCGGGCAAGCGCAGGAGGUGUCAGGCAGGCAAAUCCGCCUGACAAGCCAAAGGCGUGACGCGGACCGAACUCAAGUAGGGAAGCAUCCGAUUCCAGCUGCCGAGAAAAGCCGCUAUUGUGUAUCAUGUGCCCGUACCGUAAACCGACACAGGUGGAUGAGGAGAGAAUCCUAAGGCCGGCGGGAGAAGCAUUGUUAAGGAACUCGGCAAAAUGACCCCGUAACUUCGGGAUAAGGGGUGCCAGAGAGAUCUGGCCGCAGAGAAUAGGCUCAAGCAACUGUUUAGCAAAAACACAGGUCUAUGCGAAACCGUAAGGUGAUGUAUAUGGGCUGACGCCUGCCCGGUGCUGGAAGGUUAAGAGGAGAGGUUAGAGCAAUCGAAGCUUUGAAUUGAAGCCCCAGUAAACGGCGGCCGUAACUAUAACGGUCCUAAGGUAGCGAAAUUCCUUGUCGGGUAAGUUCCGACCCGC
rnacentral:rRNA from 1 species